rnacentral:rRNA from 1 species
UUGACCUCAAAUCGGGUGAGACUACCCGCUGAACUUAAGCAUAUCAAUAAGCGGAGGAAAAGAAACUAACAAGGAUUCCCCUAGUAACUGCGAGUGAAGCGGGAAAAGCUCAAAUUUAAAAUCUGGCGGUCCUUGGCCGU